AGCACUGCAUGUGAAUUCUGGACAGUCUGUAUAAACUGCAUUUGUAAUCCUGUGAUGAGAGUGUCAGUUUUGUGCUUUGUGAUUUCAAAUCCUCAUGAUAGUUAUAUUUUUUUCUACAAGUGAUAUUUUUGUUGAUCUCUUUAAGGUCUUUCUGCAGCUCCUGUCUUCUGCUAUUCAGAUGCAUUUGGAUGCAUUAUGCUAUCUGUGUGUAUUGCUGUGUGGUCUAAAUUUUACUUGAUUUUACUGAGGUGCUAUUCUUUUUGCAGUGAUCUCCGCAAAUGGGAAGAUUGAUCUUGAUGUUUAACCAAAUUACAUAUAUGUAUACUGUGGUCAUCUUUGUUGAAAUUUGAAAGUUUGAUCUGUAGGCGAAAUUGUGCGGGAUAAGUUUUUUCUUUCGAAUAUUUGAUAAGGUACAGAUGAUACUGCACGUCCACUGAGUCUGAAUACGGAGGCCGUUUUCACCACGACCUCAUUGAAUGAUAUAGCCUGUCUAUGCUGCCUCCUAAUAGAUAAUGGCCUUCAGUACACAGGAGAUUAUGUACAAAAGAAAAUGAACGCUAAAAUCUAAUUACAUCAAUUAAUCCUCCCUCUUACAGUACAUGUACCAGGAUAAUUUUUAUUGAAGUUAUGGAUUGUUUGGAUUAAACUGUACUCCUGUCAAAAUACGUACAGGCAGUGUAUGGACAUCUACUCGCCAGCAUUAGAAUGAUAUACCGUAAACUUCCUCAUGGAGGCUUGAUAAGAGACACAAACUCUUUAUAAAGUGUGUUACAGCUAGUCUGAGCUGUGAGACUAAUCAGACUAUCCACUUGCACUCUGGAUCUACACGCAUGCAAAGACUCAAUGAGCUAGUCUUUGCUCCAGGCAUUAUAGAACGAGAGUCCGGUCAGUGACACUUCCUCAAGUGCACAUAUUAUGCUCUUCACUUUCCAUGCAGAGUGUGUGUGAAAUUGAGUGUUUUCAGACGUGUAUCAAUCAGAUUUGCAUCUGGAUCAACCUUAAACACCACCAUCUGACAGAAGUGGCCAGGGCUCGAACCUCUUCAUCAAUUUGUAGCUCUCCCAGAUAUCUUGGACUACAGGCGCACGCCAAAGCGCCCAGCAGAGGCUCAUGUAUUUGAUCAAGUUGGAAUUAAUUAGCACUUGUUAGCAGUGUAUCACUGGACAUCGGGGAGUUUGAAGUUUGUCGUUUGAGGGAUGCAGCGGUUAAAGAUCGAAGGCAAGCCAAGAGGGAGAUCAAAAAGUCAUGCUUUGGUGGCCCCCGAUUGUUGAAGUGAGCCCUCUUUGUUGAGAAUGGGCCAACAGAAGCAGAUCCAGAAAAGAUGGUUACAUGCUAAUACCAAACGCUGUCGACUUUCGUGGCAAGGCGCUGAAGAUCAGGAUGAAUUUUUCACCCGGGAACUCCUUCGUGCCUCCACCAAAUUCCAGGCUCAACGCAGUAGGUCGGAGGGCAAGCUGAACAGUACUGGUGAAUACGUAACCCAUCACAGCCAUGGGA